AUACUUACCUGGCGUAGAGGUACCGUGAUCAUGCAGGCGGGUCUUCCAGGGUGAGGCUGCUGCAUUGCACUGCGGUUGUGGUUGACCUUUGCGAAUAUUCUUACUUUUUAUAAGUUUCACUUCUACCGUGUGUGACUUGCACACACACACACACAUU